GAUGAACGCUGGCGGCGUGCCUAAUACAUGCAAGUCGAGCGAACGGACGAGAAGCUUGCUUCUCUGAUGUUAGCGGCGGACGGGUGAGUAACACGUGGAUAACCUACCUAUAAGACUGGGAUAACUUCGGGAAACCGGAGCUAAUACCGGAUGAUAUUUUGAACCGCAUGGUUCAAAAGUGAAAGACGGUCUUGCUGUCACUUAUAGAUGGAUCCGCGCUGCAUUAGCUAGUUGGUAAGGUAACGGCUUACCAAGGCAACGAUGCAUAGCCGACCUGAGAGGGUGAUCGGCGACACGGGAGCUGAGGCACGGUCGAGACGCCGACGGGAGGCAGCAGUGGGGAAUCGUCCGCGAUGGGCGAGAGCGUGACGGAGCGACGGCGCGUGAGUGAUGAAGGUCUUCGGAGCGGAAAGCGCUGUUAUUAGGGAAGAACGUAUGUGUAAGUAACUGUGCACAUCUUGACGGUACCUAAUGAGAAAGCCACGGCUAACUACGUG
rnacentral:rRNA from 1 species